CGCUGGUUGAGUUGACAGUAGUUUGUCUGUGGUUCCAGUGAGUUCUACAACAUUUCCAAGUGUUUUAUUAUACAAAAAUCAAUGGACAUCCAUCAGUCAUCCUCGGAUUUGAACCAGUGACCUUGCUGACCCUGAUCCUGAACCAUUAGGCCACAGAUGACUGCCUUCAGCAAAUAAGAAACACAUCUGUAUGUGGAGGUCUGCAGAUCCAGGUGCAUGCUGGGAAAGCGGAGCUUAAAGUAAAGGCCCGGCCCUCAUAAUAAGGUCAUAGGCUGAGCA